rnacentral:rRNA from 1 species
UGGUCAAGUUAUUAAGGGUGCAGGGCGGAUGCCUUGGCACUAGGAGCCGAUGAAGGACGUGAUAAGCUGCGAUAAGCUUCGGGGAGUUGCACGUAAACUUUGAUCCGAAGAUUUCCGAAUGAGGAAACUCACUUAGAGUAAUGUCUAAGUAUCAUUAAGUGAAUACAUAGCUUAAUGAGGGGAACUCAGGGAACUGAAACAUCUAAG